rfam:Solenopsis invicta Si_gnG.contig21632, whole genome shotgun sequence.
GUCAACUUCCAUAUCACGCUUAAAAAACCAGUUCUCGUCCGAUCACUGAAGUUAAGCAGCGUUGAGCAUGGUUAGUACUUGGAUGGGUGACCGCUUGGGAACACCGUGUGAUGUUGACC